rnacentral:misc_RNA from 1 species
UGGAACAAUAGAUGGAAAAC